CAUGGCACUGAUGUGUAAACUUUUAGAGAGAAGUUACAGAAGAUACAUGAUUUGCUUUUGAAUAUUUCAAGCAGACAUACUGCUAAUACA